UACGUAGGUGGCGAGCGUUGUCCGGAUUUACUGGGCGUAAAGGGUGUGUAGGCGGUUGCUUAAGUUUGGUGUGAAAUCUCCCGGCUCAACCGGGAGGGUGCGCCGAAUACUGAGUGACUAGAGUGCGGGAGAGGAAAGUGGAAUUCCUGGUGUAGCGGUGAAAUGCGUAGAUAUCAGGAGGAACACCGGUGGUGUAGACGGCUUUCUGGACCGUAACUGACGCUGAGACACGAAAGCGUGGGUAGCAAACAGG
rnacentral:rRNA from 1 species